rnacentral:rRNA from 1 species
GACGAACGCUGGCGGCGUGCUUAACACAUGCAAGUCGAACGCAGAAGCACCAGGUUGCUGGCGUGGAUGAGUGGCGAACGGGUGAGUAAAACGUGAGUAACCUGCACUUGACUCUGGGAUAAGACCGGGAAACUGGGUCUCAUACAGGAUGCAACAUGUCACAGCACGGUGGUGUGUGGAAAGGGUUGACUGGUCUUGGAUGGGCACACGGCCUAUCAGCUCGUUGGUGAGGUAAUGGCGCACCAAGGCGCCGACGGGUAGCCGGCCUGAGAGGGUGACCGCCCACCCUGCGACUGCGACACGGCCCAGACGCCUACGGGAGGCAGCAGUCGGGAAUAUUGCACAAUGGGCGCAAGCCUGAUGCAGCGACGCCGCGUGCGGGAUGCCGGCCUUCGGGUUGUAAACCUCUUUCUGCGUGGAAGAAGCCACCAGGGACGUUACCUGCAGAAGAGGCGCCGGCUACCUCCGU